AGUCCAGUGAAUGCAGUGUGUGUGUCAGUGUAAUGAAUUCAGUGUGUGUUAGUGUAAUGAAUACAGUGUGUGUGUUAGUGUAAUGAAUGCAGAGUGUGUGUUAGUGCAGUGAAUGCAGUGUGUGUGUCAGUGUAGUGAAUGCAGUGUGUGUGUUAGUGUAAUGAAUGCAGAGUGUGUGUUAGUGUAAUGAAUGCAGAGUGUGUGUGUGUUUACUAGUGUAUGCAUGUAAUGUAAU